rnacentral:rRNA from 1 species
GGAGGGUGCAAGCGUUAAUCGGAAUUACUGGGCGUAAAGCGCGCGUAGGUGGUUAGUUAAGCUAGAUGUGAAAGCCCCGGGCUCAACCUGGGAAUUGCAUUUAGAACUGGCUGGCUAGAGUACAGUAGAGGGUAGUGGAAUUUCCUGUGUAGCGGUGAAAUGCGUAGAUAUAGGAAGGAACACCAGUGGCGAAGGCGACUGCCUGGACUGAUACUGACACUGAGGUGCGAAAGCGUGGGGGAGCAAACAGGAUUAGAUACCCUGGUAGUCCACGCCGUAAACGAUGUCUACUAGCCCGUUGGGAUCCUUGAGGUCUUAGUGGCGCAGCUAACGCAAUAAGUAGACCGCCUGGGAGUACGGUCGCAAGAUUA